UACGAAGGGGGCUAGCGUUGCUCGGAAUCACUGGGCGUAAAGGGUGCGUAGGCGGGUCUUUAAGUCAGGGGUGAAGUCCUGGAGCUCAACUCCAGAACUGCCUUUGAUACUGAGGAUCUUGAGUACGGGAGAGGUGAGUGGAACUGCGAGUGUAGAGGUGAAAUUCGUAGAUAUUCGCAAGAACACCAGUGGCGAAGGCGGCUCACUGGCCCGGUACUGACGCUGAGGUGCGAAAGCGUGGGGAGCAAACAGG
rnacentral:rRNA from 1 species